CAUGGCAAACCACGCGUUUUAGACUCCCUGACAUUAAAAUAGCACGCGUCGAAAUGAAGAAAGCGCCAGCUAAGGCAUCAUUUACACGAUUUUCUGUACUGUGACACGACGAGCAGCUUCCUGAACCAAACUGAUGCAACCAGUACGGCUACGCCAGCAAGAUUUCAAAACAAGCAAUCGUCGACAGAAUUCUUCCGUGGACUUCACGCAGCGUGGACGCAGCAGCGGGAGAACUACGAUGCCUAGCACAAUUUUAUUUGUUGUUCAGCUGCUGCCCGACCACAUAGUACCUCCAUGACUGGUGUAUACAGCUUGUGUGGCAGACAUAUCGCGUCUGCUCUCCCCGACCUUGAGAUAACGCGUCGAAAUGAAGAAGCCAGCUAAGCCAUCAUUUACGUCUGCAGCACAUGAGGAAGUAGGGCUUCACAAAGCAAAGUGAUCCAACCAAUAUCGCCACGCCAGCAAGAUUUAUUAAGCGGGAAUCUUCGACAGACUUCCUCAGCGGGUAUAUUACAACACCUGACGCUAGUUUCUUCCUUGUUGUUCAGGUCCUGCGCACGAUAGCAGUUCCCCUCUGUGGUGCCAAGCGCAGCAGAUCUGGGUGCUCACGGCCUUUGCGGGCAUUGAAAAAGAGUCACCUGUCCUGUUCGCUCUACCUCUCUGUCCGAAAGCAGCGGAAGGUGAAGCCGAGUGCUCUACUGCGUCUCCUGCAUAUUUCCUGAUUGCAUCGUCACAUUGGAACGUCAUCGUCCGCAACUUUAUGACAACGUGGACUGUCUGGCCAAUGUCCUAUCCACGUCGUGUCGGCCAUGGAAGUCAGCCUGUCGUCAGCCUGUCGUCAGCCCAUCGGCAGGACGUCGGCAGUCGCCGUUGAGUGCAGGAACAGAUGUUAUGAACUUUUUUGGGUAGCGGACGCGGCAUUAGCAUAUGUACGCAAUAAACGAAGCGUAAUGCAAACACAAACGAAGGCAGAGCGAGAGUUUUAGAAUCGGGUAUUCUCCGGCGAAAACCCCCAAAACGAAAACACCUGGCAUUUGUGGGGUCAUCUUGUGGCACCACUGUACCCCUUUUGUGUACGAAAUUUAAUUUGAGGAGAAAUGGUACCCGUGUUUUACCUAAAUAUCGUUGAAGCUGGAAAGCAGGCGUGUUUUUCAUUACUUUCAACAUUGCGCGAAGGCGACGGAGGUUCACGUUUUUUGUGUGGCGAUUUCGGGUACCCACGCUAUUUCCGAAACGCCUUCUAUACCGGGAAACACUGAAUUCUCUGAACGUGCGCUGUAGGAGUCCCCAAAUUUGUUUGGGGUCCCAAAGUGCUUGGGUACCCUAUUCUAGAACUCUCAAACGCUUACUGUCUAGCAAUGACUCCAUGAGUGCAACAAACACCCAGCGGAAAGACAGAAGACUGUAAUAUGCCUGCGUGUCCUGGUACUUUGUAUGCUUCUGUUUUGCUGGUACUUUGUAUGCUUCUGUUUUGCUGGUACUUUGUAUGCUUUUAUUUUGCUGGUAUUUUGUAUAUGCUUUUAUUUUGCUGGUAUUUUGUAUAUGCUUUUAUUUUGCUGGUAUUUUUUAUAUGCUUUUAUUUUGCUGGUGCUUUGUAAGCAUCUGUUCGCCGGCCCCUUUACGUGGUUGCGUUUACUGGUAUUUCACUUAAGCACACACUGUUCACACCUAUUAAAGAAAGCACGCGCACACAGACAUA